rnacentral:rRNA from 1 species
AACGAACGCUGGCGGCGUGGCUAAGACAUGCAAGUCGAACGGAUCUACUAAUUUAUUGGUGGAUUAGUGGCGAAAGGGUGAGUAAUAGGUAGGUAACGUGCCUUUUGCUUCGGGAUAGCGUCGUUCGCCUUCGGGCGAGCUACCGAAAGGGGCGGUAAUACCGAAUAAUGUCAUUUGUCGAUGGGCGAAUGACCAAAGAUUUAUCGGCGAAGGAGCGGCCUACCUCCUAUCAGCUUGUUGGUGAGGUAAUGGCUCACCAAGGCGAUGACGGGUAGCGGGACUGAGAGGUUGACCCGCCACAUCGGGACUGAGACACUGCCCGGACCUCCACGGAGGGCUGCAGUAACGAAUCUUGGGCAAUGGGCGAAAGCCUGACCCAGCGACGCCGCGUGCGGGAGGAAGUCUUUCGGGAUGUAAACCGCUGUCAGGGCUAAGAAAGUCCGCUUCGGCGGAUUGAUCUAACUCAAAGGAAGUCACGGCUAACUUCGUGCCAGCAGCCGCGGUAAGACGAAGGUGGCAAGCGUUGUUCGGUAUCACUGGGCUUAAAGAGUGUGUAGGCGGAGAAGUAAGCGUCCUGUGGAAGUCCUCGGCUUAACCGAGGAAUUGCUUGACGAACUGCUUUUCUUGAGGCAAGUAGGGGUGCAUGGAACUCUUGGUGGAGCGGUGGAAUGCGUAGAUAUCAAGAGGAACGCCAGCGGUGAAAACGGUGCACUGGGCUUGUUCUGACGCUGAGACACGAAAGCGUGGGUAGCGAACGGGAUUAGAUACCCCGGUAGUCCACGCCGUAAACGAUGCCUACUAGGUUGUGGAAGUUCUGACACUUGCACAGCCGAAGCAAAAGUGUUAAGUAGGCCGCCUGGGGAGUACGGUCGCAAGGCUA